rnacentral:rRNA from 1 species
AUGUUCAGUAGAAAGACACAAGGGAGGCACGCACGCCCACAAUGUGAGGCUGACGAGGAGCUUAAUCAUUGGAGAUUUCUGUUCAGAUAUGCCAAACUAGGGUACUCUAAUGACAAGGCAACAGUAUCUGCAUUUCUUUCUCCUUAGUGUGGGGCUCAAAAAGGCAAGAAAUGCCCCCAAUUUACAAUGCCCUUAGCUCAGAUAGGCCUCACCAAUUUGUAA